rnacentral:rRNA from 1 species
GAAAUCAACCGAGAUUCCCCCAGUAGCGGCGAGCGAACGGGGAGCAGCCCAGAGCCUGAAUCAGUGUGUGUGUUAGUGGAAGCGUCUGGAAAGGCGCGCGAUACAGGGUGACAGCCCCGUACACAAAAAUGCACAUGCUGUGAGCUCGAUGAGUAGGGCGGGACACGUGGUAUCCUGUCUGAAUAUGGGGGGACCAUCCUCCAAGGCUAAAUACUCCUGACUGACCGAUAGUGAACCAGUACCGUGAGGGAAAGGCGAAAAGAACCCCGGCGAGGGGAGUGAAAAAGAACCUGAAACCGUGUACGUACAAGCAGUGGGAGCACGCUUAGGCGUGUGACUGCGUACCUUUUGUAUAAUGGGUCAGCGACUUAUAUUCUGUAGCAAGGUUAACCGAAUAGGGGAGCCGAAGGGAAACCGAGUCUUAACUGGGCGUUAAGUUGCAGGGUAUAGACCCGAAACCCGGUGAUCUAGCCAUGGGCAGGUUGAAGGUUGGGUAACACUAACUGGAGGACCGAACCGACUAAUGUUGAAAAAUUAGCGGAUGACUUGUGGCUGGGGGUGAAAGGCCAAUCAAACCGGGAGAUAGCUGGUUCUCCCCGAAAGCUAUUUAGGUAGCGCCUCGUGAAUUCAUCUCCGGGGGUAGAGCACUGUUUCGGCAAGGGGGUCAUCCCGA